AGCAGCCGCGGUAAUUCCAGCUCCAAUAGCGCAUAUUAAAGUUGUUGUGGUUAAAAAGCUCGUAGUUGAGCCUUGGGCCUGGCUGGCCGGUCCGCCUCACCGCGUGUACUGGUCCGGCCGGGCCUUUCCCUCUGUGGAACCCCAUGCCCUUCACUGGGUGUGGCGGGGAAACAGGACUUUUACUGUGAAAAAAUUAGAGUGCUCCAGGCAGGCCUAUGCUCGAAUACAUUAGCAUGGAAUAAUAGAAUAGGACGUGUGGUUCUAUUUUGUUGGUUUCUAGGACCGCCGUAAUGAUUAAUAGGGACAGUCGGGGGCAUCAGUAUUCAAUUGUCAGAGGUGAAAUUCUUGGAUUUAUUGAAGACUAACUACUGCGAAAGCAUUUGCCAAGGAUGUUUUCAUUAAUCAGGAACGAAAGUUAGGGGAUCGAAGACGAUCAGAUACCGUCGUAGUCUUAACCAUAAACUAUGCCGACUAGGGAUCGGACGGUGUUGUAUUUUGACCCG
rnacentral:rRNA from 1 species